UACGAAGGGGGCUAGCGUUGUUCGGAAUUACUGGGCGUAAAGGGCGCGUAGGCGGUGCAUCAAGUCAGGCGUGAAAGCCCCGGGCUCAACCUGGGAACCGCGCUUGAGACUGGUGCGCUAGAGUCCGGAAGAGGAGAGUGGAAUUCCUGGUGUAGCGGUGAAAUGCGCAGAUAUCAGGAAGAACACCCGUGGCUAAGGCGGCUCUCUAGUACGGUACUGACGCUGAGACGCGAAAGCGUGGGGAGCGAACAGG
rnacentral:rRNA from 1 species